rnacentral:rRNA from 1 species
CCUACGGGUGGCUGCAGUAGGGAAUAUUGGUCAAUGGGUGAGAGCCUGAACCAGCCAUGCCGCGUGCAGGAAGACGGCCUUCUGGGUUGUAAACUGCUUUUAUCUGGGGAUAAAAAGGCCUUGCGAGGCCCAUUGAAGGUACCAGAUGAAUAAGCACCGGCUAACUACGUGCCAGCAGCCGCGGUAAUACGUAGGGUGCAAGCGUUGUCCGGGUUUAUUGGGUUUAAAGGGUGCGUAGGAGGUCAGUGGUGAAAGCCAACAGCUCAACGGUGGAUGUGCCAAUGAUACUGAUGGACUUGAGUACAGACGAGGUAGGCGGAAUUGACAGUGUAGCGGUGAAAUGCAUAGAUAUUGUCAAGAACACCGAUAGCGAAGGCAGCUUGCUAGCCUGUAACUGACGCUGAGGCACGAAAGUAUGGGGAUCAAACAGGAUUAGAUACCCGGGUAGUC